rnacentral:rRNA from 1 species
GAUCCUGGCUCGGGAUGAACGCUAGCUACAGGCUUAACACAUGCAAGUCGAGGGGCAGCAUGACCUAGCAAUAGGUUGAUGGCGACCGGCGCACGGGUGAGUAACACGUAUCCAACCUACCGGUUAUUCCGGGAUAGCCUUUCGAAAGAAAGAUUAAUACCGGAUAGUAUAACGAGAAGGCAUCUUUUUGUUAUUAAAGAAUUUCGAUAACCGAUGGGGAUGCGUUCCAUUAGUUUGUUGGCGGGGUAACGGCCCACCAAGACA